rnacentral:rRNA from 1 species
UAGGGAAUCUUCGGCAAUGGACGAAAGUCUGACCGAGCAACGCCGCGUGAGUGAAGAAGGUUUUCGGAUCGUAAAACUCUGUUGUUAGAGAAGAACGUUGCAUAGAGUGGAAAAUUAUGCAAGUGACGGUAUCUAACCAGAAAGGGACGGCUAACUACGUGCCAGCAGCCGCGGUAAUACGUAGGUCCCGAGCGUUGUCCGGAUUUAUUGGGCGUAAAGCGAGCGCAGGUGGUUUAAUAAGUCUGAUGUAAAAGGCAGUGGCUCAACCAUUGUGUGCAUUGGAAACUGUUAGACUUGAGUGCAGUAGAGGAGAGUGGAAUUCCAUGUGUAGCGGUGAAAUGCGUAGAUAUAUGGAGGAACACCGGUGGCGAAAGCGGCUCUCUGGACUGUCACUGACACUGAGGCUCGAAAGCGUGGGUAGCAAACAGGAUUAGAUACCCUGGUAGUCCACGCCGUAAACGAUGA